AUGGUCCGCACGAUGACCGAAGGCAUCGUGAAUAGGAUUUUGAGCUCUGCGAAGGCCGAGAUGCUUCAAAAGAACGAGACGGAGAUAAGAUGUCCAUGUCGAAGAUGCAAGCUGAGGAGCCUUAUGGACCCGGAUUCCGUACAGAUGCGGGACCACCUGCUCUUGCGUGGUUUCAUGGAUGGCUAUCGGUGGCAAGGUGAUGAAGAUGAUUAUGAAGUCGUCCAUGGGGGCCGGCCGGCAAGAAAUGAGGAAGGGCAGCAAGACAACCGCGGCGAGGGCGGGCGAGAAGACGAAGAAUCUCCAGGACAUGAUCACGAAGUAGAUGCAGUACACAGUCAUCAUGUAGAAGAUGCUGGACAUGAUGACGAGGAAGAAGCCGGAGCAGGCGAAGGGCAUGAUCAUGAAGAUGAAGAUGCCGGAGCAGACGACGAUGGACCAUCGAUGGGCUGGGUGCAGGACCCUCAUAUUCAAGAGCUGCUUCUCAAGCAGACGGAUAACGCAAGAGCUGCCGCCCGAGAGAAAGCCAAGCUGGAUCAACUGGAGAUAGACGCGGUUACUGCAUUGUAUGAAGGAUGCAGGUCCGAGGAUACCUGCCUGAAAGUAACACUCAUGGCUCUGGAGAUGAAGGUAAAACACAAAAUGACCGACGCAUGCUUCGACGAGAACAUGUCAUUCUGGCACGAACGUCUUCCCAAGGGGAACAAGUGCCCGACCAGUUUCGAGGAGGCGAAGAAAAUCGUGUGUCCUCUGGAUUUACCGCACGUGAAAUACCAUGUGUGCAUGAACAAUUGCAUCAUUUAUCGGGACGAGCACGCGGAGUCUACCAUAUGUCCGGUGUGCGGCGUCACUCGAUACAAGAAGAGGAAGAAAGCUCCUCGAAAAGUGGUGUGGUACUUUCCGAUCACUCCUCGUCUGCAGCGGUAUUUCGCGGACCCUAAGGUAGCAAAGCUCUUGCGUUGGCACGCGGAUAGGGAGGAGAAGCGAGAAGAUGACGCAAAUGAUCCGGAGAUAAAUAAAAAAGACAAGAUGCUGAGUCACCCUAAGGAUGGGAGCCAGUGGCAAGCGUUGAACUUCGAACACCCAGAAUUUGGGAACGAUCCAAGGAACAUCGUGCUGGGCGCGAGCACCGAUGGAGUCAAUUCGUUUGGCAGCCAGAGAAGCACACAUAGCACCUGGCCUGUGUUUGUGUGGAUGUACAACCUUCCCCCCUGGUUGUGCAUGAAGAGGAAGUACAUUCACAUGAGUAUGCUAAUUGAAGGGCCGAAACAACCAGGGAACGACAUCAAUCUGUAUCUGGGGCUGCUGAAAGAGGAGCUAGACACGCUGUGGAAAACGCCAGCCAAUACGUGGGACGCCGCAGAGAAAGAAUAUUUCCCUAUGAGAGCUGCACUGCUCACGACGGUGCACGACUAUCUCGGUUACGGAUAUGUCGCGGGGCAGGUGGUCCACGGAUUUUCUGGAUGCGUCAGGUGCAUGGAUGACACAACGUAUCGCCAGCUAGAUAGAGAUCCCGGGUCUUCGAAAACCGUGUUCAUGGGACAUCGAAGGUGGCUUCGCGACGAUGACUCAUGGAGGAAACGCAAGGAUCUGUUCGAUGGUGAAACCGAAACCCGAAGAUGCCCGCGUACGAGGAGCGGCGAGGAAAUAGACGAGCUGUUGAAAAAUUGGAAAGAUUGCCCAUUGCCGGGAAAUAAGCAAAAGGCGCCAGAGCCGGGAAAGAAGCGAAAGGCGCAAGAGCCGCUGCUGAAGGUAUGGAAAACGAGGUCUGUUUUCUGGGACUUGCCGUACUGGAAGAUCCACCGUGUGCCUCACAGCCUUGAUGUCAUGCAUAUCACGAAGAACGUGUGCGAGAGUCUGCUUGGUACCCUGCUCAACAUGCCGGAGAGGACCAAAGAUGGGCCGAAAGCAAGGGCAGACUUGAAAUCAAUGGGCAUCAGGGAGGAGCUUCACGCUAAUGAUGAUGAUGAUGAGGCGAAGCAGGACACGGAAGUCGUCGCAAAGGCAAAAAGGCCAAGAAGACCGGAAAUGACUUCCCUCCCGCGUGCUUCACUCUAA
rnacentral:rRNA from 1 species